AUUGAACGCUGGCGGAAUGCUUUACACAUGCAAGUCGAACGGUAGAGGGGGCAACCCCUCGAGAGUGGCGAACGGGUGAGUAAUAUAUCGGAACGUGCCCAGUCGUGGGGGAUAACGUAGCGAAAGUUACGCUAAUACCGCAUACGAUCUAAGGAUGAAAGCGGGGGAUCGCAAGACCUCGCGCGAUUGGAGCGGCCGAUAUCAGAUUAGGUAGUUGGUGGGGUAAAGGCUCACCAAGCCAACGAUCUGUAGCUGGGCUGAGAGGACGAUCAGCCACACUCGAACUGUGACACGGUCCAGACUCCUACGGGAGGCAGCAGUGUGGAAGUUUGGACAAUGGACGCAAGUCUGAUCCAGCCAUUCCGCGUGCAGGAUGAAGGCCCUCGGGUUGUAAACUGCUUUUGUACGGAACGAAAAGGUCUCUCUUAAUACGGGGGACUCAUGACGGUACCGUAAGAAUAAGCACCGGCUAACUACGUGCCAGCCGCCGCAGUAAUAC
rnacentral:rRNA from 1 species